CUUUUGCAUGUUGCAAGGAAGUUCAUUUAACCUGACGAUAAAUUAUAGUAUUGGUGAUCAAAGCAAGAACACACAGGUAGAGUGGCCACUGACACAUUCCCAGAAUACAGGACAUCCCCUUGGUAAGGUGUGGAACCACCGGCCCAUUCAACCAAUCAGCGAUGAGGGACAGGGCUGCCACCUCCUUGGCCAAAUCAGCAGCAAGCGGUGGGGCCACCAGGCCCCUUGGACAAGCAGCAGCAAGGGGCAGGGCUACCACAAAAAGGCAGAAAAUGGUACCUGCCUUGACUUAUUGCUCACUAUAUAAUAAAAUAUUCUCUUUCAUUUUGCACUUAUAGACAUUUAAUCCAGACAGUAGCAAUUUUGUUCAUGAGUACCAAAUUAAUAAAAAUAAUUAUUAUAACU